rnacentral:tRNA from 1 species
AGCCCUGUAGUGAGUGACACGUCAAAUUGCAAAUUUGAAGACGCUUCCUUUAUUGGUGCCAGGGCUU